rnacentral:lncRNA from 1 species
CGCCUUGUGGUUCGGGCCCAGAGGCUCAUGCAGGCGCUUGUGGGGAGCAUGAUGACUGGUGAGCCGAUUCGGAGAAUUUCUGCAGGUUUUGUAAUGAGAGGUGACAGCACACAGCGGGAGACAACAAGAAAGCCUUCUAUAUUCCCUCACAUGCCGGAGGCCCCAUUCAAGGCCCUCCCCUCCACUCUCAGACUCUCACACCUUGGAUCCCAAGUAAGCGCCUGAUCCCUGUGAAGCGGUUUGGACCCCAAAGCCUAGAGGGGGGGUCACAGGAACCCAGCGUUCCCCUUAGAAAUCCAUCAGAAGGUGACAGAUGCGUCUCCUUGGCAAGCCCCAGCCCGCCCUACUGCUGUGUUCCCUCCCUCAGAGAAUUCCCUCCAGCCCGGGACCGGGAACCCUGAGCACCGCUCCCACGACCGGGUGAGGGGGGUACCCGGCCCCAGAAAAGGGUUUCGCCUCCAGCAGCCACCAAGAACGGGCACCAGCCGUGCCUAGAGCGGGCGGGCAAGGCAAGGAGGUGCGCAGAGGCUGACAGGAACUCGUUUAAACCAGACUCAGCCAGUUUUGCUCUGUCUGAGCGGUGGAGGAAGUGAGUGGUUCACACCUGGUGAGUUGGAGUGGCCGGAGGUAUCUGGAGGCCUGGGCAGGGGUGGGGGUGGGGGGGUUCUGUCACUGGAUCUCCCACGGAGCACAUAGGCGAGGUGGCCCCCACCCUAGGGCUUCU